rnacentral:lncRNA from 1 species
AUUUUAUUUUAUGUUUGGAUUUGUCUUGAGAUAGUGGAUCCAUCCUGCUCCACAUUGCAGCAUUACAUAUUUGGAGAAAAAGUUGAAGGGGAAGCUUUUUAGAGGUCUAUGAUGGUAGCAAAUGGCUUGGGCCAAUGCUCUUCAAGGGUUAGAAGUUGGAGGCCCCGCAAUACGGACCAUCGCGAUAUUUGUGAGCUUUUCUUUAACCUAUUAAGAUUUGUUAUUAGAGACAUCUAUACCCCUUUUCGUUAUGAUCAAUGAUAUGAGAGCAUCGGUGUAUAUAGGGACUAAAGUUUCUUAGAAUCUACCUAUUUUCGUACACAACUAUUAGAGCAUCGGUGUAUAUGGGGGCUAAAAUUUCAUAGAAUCUACCUAUUUUCAUACACAACUAGUGAUUGCCGCAAAAUAUUUCCUCUAUCUUUGUCAUUAGACUUAGCCAUCAAAGCUGUCCAAUGUGAAUGAAAUUGUGUUCCUUGCUUUCUUCACUUUUCUCUUCAUCAUCUUUGGUGUUUAUGUCUGACGUACUUAAUUUUUAGGGCCAAUAAAUGAAUAAAAUCAACAAACCAUAAUGAUUCUUGAAUAACUAUAUUAACCUUAAUGAAGACCACGAAUGCAUGCAAUUAUCAUAUUCAAUAAACAAAAGUACGUAAGAAGUCUCACCACAUGUGUAGGUUACAAGGAUGUUAAUAGGAUUCUUAAAAAUAAAGGCAUGUGAUAUAAUGCAAGGGACCAACCACAAAAUAUCCACCGUCAAUGUUAUGCUAAUAGUCUGCCUAUCACAAAAUAGAUUUCUGUGAGGAUAUUGGAGCACACGAUAAUUCAUUUAGAAUCGUGUAGAGUUGGAUUUUCUCUUAGGAUUUUGGUUCUUAAUAGUGACCCUCUCAUCUUUCUUCGAUCAUAAUUCAUGAGCAAACGUUCCAAUGUAUAGUGUUAGAGAAGAAAUAAGAGAGUAUUCUUGCCUCUAUAAUAGGAAGAUGUUUGAGCAAGAAUUGUCGUGCCACUGGCACUGGGUACUGGGGUGUGCCAUCAGCAUGGCAUGACACACUUGCACGACUCAGCAUACACUAUUUUAUAUGUCAACACGAGUGGCAUGGGCUUAUCAACAUAAGUGGCACGGAUGCCAGGCGCCAGUUGUGCCAGACCUUGCUGACUGGCACAAGAAUCCUUAUGUUUGAUAAUAGACAACUUGAUAGAAUCAAAUUUUCCUAGAGAAUUUAAAGUCAAAUUACUAAACAUAUUUGUAACAUCAUGCAUGAGUCAUAAUGAUAGGAAAAAGCACUUAGUCAUGCACGGAUGAAUAAGUUGUCAUAGGCAAAUUGACUAUGCAAAGGAGUCAGCCUCGAAAGGUUUGAUUGGUUGGAGUGGGAGAUCCGAUCAAUCUAUGCCGGUCGAGUAUGCAUAAAAAAUUCGUGCUCUUCGUAAUCAAUAGAAUACAUAAAAAGUCUGAAUGAAGAAACUUCUUAGUAAUCAAUGUAACACAUAAAAAAAUCCAAAAGAAGGAUUACCAAAUCAUCUGUGUCAGUAGGAACGAAGCACUUAUGUGCUAAUGGCUUGUAGGCACAUUAUAGGAGAGUGCCAUGAUAACUUCUAUGCUGGAAUGUAGCAUAGCACGUCCCACCUAAAAUACUUUGUAUUUUUCUUUCUUCUAUGUUAACACCUAUGCAUACCAUCAUCAUGUACAUGCAUGAAAAUACUGAGCCAGUGCCUGAAUGGCAUGAGGUGUGCCACUCAAAGUUUUCAAUAAGGUCUUAAUAAUGUAAUCAUGAAAUGUAUUUUUUUUUCUAAUAUUCUAGAAUUGUUUUUUAACUAGAAUCAACCAAAUCGGUGCAAGGAAUCUUUACAAAGUUGAUUAGAAAAAUGAAUCCUGACAAAACAAAACUCUCCUAAAGAACUUCCAACAUUAUAAACUGGUAAUAGGAGAUUAAUCGCCAAUUAAGUGAUAGCAUGAGACAGAGUACAAUUUGACACCACCCAGCUAAUCUACGAAAAGGGGCCUGCUGGACUUGUAUUUCUAGCCAUUUUGCUAUUUCUUGGCAACAAGCAAAUUGGAAUCGAGUCUAGUGUACGCUAGUUUGCUUUUUGAUGCUUUGUAGGCAAUUUCAAGUUUGGUAAAUUUACUAUUGCCUCAUGUAUGGAAAUAUUUUUCAUAUCCUUCACCAUUGAGAGCACAUUCUCUUUCCUGAUAUCAUUCUUCUCCAUCAUCUCUUCAUUGUCUUCAAACAGAGGAAGAAGUUUCUCUUUCAACCGCAAAAAAAGUUGUGGGAUCUUCAACCUAAAUGAAGGCCCCAAAAAUUAAAAGAAGAGGCUCAUAAGAGAGUUAAGAACAAUAGCUUCUUUUAAAGCUCUCAUUGGCUAGAUGCGCUUUUCAUACCACCUUUCCUUCCUCUUGUGUUAUUCUCAAUUUCCAAAGUUCAAUCCAGGAAGACUAUGAUGAGAUCAUGAGAUGAUAGAUAACUCAUCUAUCGACCAUUGCAAAACACUUUCUAUAACAACCCUAGAAACACUGGCAUCAAGUAUGCCCAAAAAAGGAUACACUGAACUUGCCUUUGAGGUAACUGCGUCCCAAAAGCCCUUCUCAUGUGUUGUCAUGCAUCUAAAAAUCACCAAAUUCCGUACUGGCACGGCGCCAUCAAUGCAACAAAAAUUGCCAAUCAGCAUGACUAUGGAUAUAGGCACGUACUAUCUAUUCCACGCGUCAAAAGGAGCUACAUGGUUUAGAAAUAAUAUUGUAAAUAGCACAUACUAUCUAUUCCACGCGUCAAAUGGAGCUACAUGGUUUACAAAUAGUAUUGUAAAUAACAGAAAUCUCUGUUCCGACGCCCCAAUUCACAUGCAGCUCAAUGUUUUCUUGUAUUCCACAAAGAUUAUCUUCUCAUCCUUCUGUCACAAAUUGAUCUCCAACAAUCAGAAUAUUAAUGUAGCCUUACUUUUCUAUGACCCUCAAGUAGUCAAUCAGAUCGUUGGAGUCGAUCAGGACCCGCAACAGAAAAUCAGAAACAACUUGUUACAGGGUCAUGUGAAGAAUCAGGGUGCAAAAAGAACCUCCCUGAUAUUGCUAGGUAAUGAAAUAUUAAGUACAUACCUUUUUUUGUCAAAUAGUUCUAGUACUAAUCUUAUAUAGUUAUAUGGAAAGCUUCGACCACUGUGAUCAUAUUAAUAGCAUAUAAAAGUGAAGCAAUUAUAUGAUGCUGAGCCCUUGUUAUUCUUCUUCUUCUUCGUCUUCUUCUUCUUCUUAUCAAAUAGAGGAACACUCCUUUUCAAUUUGGAAAUUCUCUCCUAUGCAGUAGUUCUGAGCCUCCAAUACAAAUUUAAAAGCAAAAAAAUAAAUGACACAGGGACUAAGCCGCAAUAUCUUGGAUAACUACAGGGACUAUCCAUCCAUACAUUGUAAUUUGUAUUAUAACACCAACAAAUAAUUAUUAAUUAAUUCCACUAAAAAAAUUACCUGCAAAAUAUCAGUAGAGCUCUGCAACCUCUCCACCUCCUCUGCACUGUUCUUCGGCCUCCUCCCAUCUCCAAUCACCCCCAACCUCGACCUCCUCCCCGUGGGCCCUUCGAUGGGCCUCCCCGUGGGCCCCUCGAUGGGCCUCUCCGUGGGCACCUCGGUGGGGCCCCGUUGGCCCAACGUGGGCCUCCUAUCCCCAAUCACCCCCAGAGACCGCCGCGUGGCGGCGGCGGCGGGCCCCACGUUCACCGUCGGCGAGGCGGAGCCGCUCAGGCAUGCGUUGGGCAUCGACAUUGUGCUCUUAUUGAACACUGAAACCCUAGAAAUUUACGAACCCUAAAUCAACCUGCGUCGGAAAAUUGGGGAAAUUAUAGAUCGAAUUAGACCGAAAUUUAGUAGAAUUAUACGCUCGGAGCACCGGAAACUCUUGAUUAAACAGGUUUUCUUCAGUAAAAUCGAACCUUUCCGAAAUUGAAGUAGCGACUAAACAAGUUCCCAAAUCGAAGUAAGCUCAAAAGUUGAGCUCGAAUACUGAGCUCAGCGAUUGGUAAUUUCGAAACCUUUAAACGCCGAGCGGAUCGAACGAGCUCAAAUUCUCAUCGCCGCGAGAGAGAUCGGAGCGAGGAGGCGCCUUUUUUUGACGCGAUCGACGAUUAUCAUUCCCCCAUUUGCGACGAGGAAGAGAGCUCUCUUAAUGGCGAACGGAGAGAGAGAGAGAGAGAGAGAGAGAGAGGUAGCAGUAGUAGUGUGAAGAAGAAGAGUGGAAGAAGAGACGAAGUAUAGAGUGAGAAGGGAAGAGAGAAAGAGAGAGAGAGGCUUGAAAUUAGUAUCUGCACCGGGUGUAUCGCUAUGUCCAAUGCACCACAUGCAAUAGGUAGUCAAUUUUAGAUAAAUAUGUACGUAACUUACCUCGGGUGUCACCGAUUUUGAUUUUUUAACUAUCUAAUUUUUAAAAAUUUUUAUUUUGCCACCCCACCUUUUAACUUAUUUGAUUUGAGCCCGUCAAAAAUUCUUUAAUUUUAAAUUUUGAAUCCAUCGAUUUUUUUUAUAAAUUUAGUUAGUAUAUUUUUCGUAAUUCAUGCAAUUAUUAAACUUGUAAAAAUAAGUAAUUAGUUUAAAUUUUAUAUUAAAAGAAUUGUCAAAUGGCUUAAAUUAGAUAAAUUAAAAGGUGAAAUAUUAAAAUCAAAAUUUUAAAAUUUUGGAUUGUCGUAUCAAGAUACACUAUAAUUCAAGUAAGUUCUGCACGUAAAUUAUAAAGAAAGUAUAUAAUUUAAGGGUCCGGCUGGAAUACUAUUGAUAGCACCAAACGUUUGGUGCUAUCGAGUUUCCCGCCGUUACAUUUAAUUCUUGACUAUUUUCAGUCGUUAGAUUUUACUAUUCAACUAAUAACACGUUCAAUCCUAAAAGGCCCAUAUCAUUCUUACCGUAUAUUUUUUCAUCAAAGAGCCGAAAAUCUAAUAUCACCAAGAGCUUGGUGCUAUUAAUAGUAUUCCAGCCUAGUUCUAUAAUUAAAUACAUUAAUUUAUUUGUUCCAUAUUAUACAAAAGGCUCCUAGAUAUAUAAAAAAAGAGUAUUACUAUAGGGGAGCGGUGCACGAGAUAAAGUAAUACACCACGCGCAUGCAACAGCGAGGAAAGAGCGACAAAGGGGCGACGAGCACGAGGCAAGGAAUUCAACCUCGACCGUCCGAUGGAGAUCGGACGGGUGCGAGAGGGUUUGGCGUUUUGCGCGGGAGAUUGUUGAUGAGAAGGGAGGAGAUUUGUGUAUCUUCGAAGGAGAGGGGGCGUGCGGGGAAGGAAUUUCGAGCCCCCCUUUUGUGUUUAUUAUUAUUAAUAAUUAUUAAUAAUUACUGCGUCAUAGAGAGCUUGAAGUGGGCCCCACCACCCAACGGAUUUGUGCAGGUGUGACACGUGGCAGCUCAGGAAGAUUUUGCAGUGGCAGGCUCACGCGUUUGGGGAGCUUGACUAUUCCAACUAUGGGCUAAGCCCCUGUGCUAGUCCAAUAUUGUGAUUUAAUCCCUUUUUUACACAUUUUAGUCCCUAAACUUUCAUUUGCCUUGCAAAAUUUGACUUUAAAAUUUUUAUAAAGAAUGAAUUUUGUCAUAAAAGGAGUAAAUUGGUCAUGCUAUAAAGUAAUUCAGAAUUUUUUAUAAAUCAGGAACUAAAACUUAAAUAUAUGUAAAAUUUUAGUGGCUAAAUUAUUUAAAUAAAAACAGGUGAGUACAUUGAGUUUCCAUACACUAACCCUUCCUCUUUAGAGAGAGAAAUUUUUACAUGCAUCUACUGUAUUAGUUCGAUUAUGCACUGCUCAUCUAUUUUGAAAAAAAGAUAGUAUAUUAUUGGCUUCAUUUUUUUUCAAAAUAAAUUCAGCCGAAAAUAUAAAACAAUAAAGCUUCAAACUUGAGACCUCGAGUACUAAUUAUCAAGUUCUUUGUCACUUAUACUAAAAACGGUCUAUAGUUGUAUUUGUUUUUCGAUAAUGAGAAACAUAAGUUUUGUGACCCUAAAGCUUGCAAUGAAACUUAAACUCGAAAUCUCAUCCUUCCACUCCUUAUUCGUGACUACUAGUACUGGAAAUCCUAGUUGUUUGGCUCGUUUGAGAAUUUAAAUCAGUGAUCGAACUAAACUAAAUAAUGGUUAAUAGAUGAGCGGUGCAUCGCUAUACGAAUGCACUGGGUGCAUGGAAUACUUUGCAAGUCUCAUAGGGAGUCCAAAUUCGGCAAAGAUAAGUGCCGCACCACCGACUUUCACGCUUGGAUAUUGUGAAAAUGUUGAAACCGGCGCUAAAAGAUUUUUGCCAGUUAGUAUAUAACAAUUGAUAAUUCUUUCACGCAAUGUUUGGUUUGAAAAUUUUUAGUUUAAACAAAUGAGAAGCAUUGAAUUCACAACUUAAUUUGUACAUGUUACCCUCACUGUAUUUGAUUACAGAUAGUAAAAGUUCGUCCAAAAUGAAACCUUUUUUUUUAUGAGAAAAUAGUAAUUCGUUUAGGCAACGAUCCAGAAGAAAGUCCCAACCAAUCAACAAAACUACUGGUUACAAAUAACAUCUUGUGUUCAUUGUUUAUUAUAUUUAUUUGUUAGAUAAGCAGUGUGUGUUCGAGCCCACAUUAGGUUCAAAAUGUCUAUUAAAAAAAUAUUUCAUUCUGUCACUCGACAAAAUGUUUUGCAAGAAAUGAAGUGUAAGGAUGCGAAAGUAAACUUUGUGAAGUUAAGAUACCUAUAUCAAGAUGUUCUACGUUCAGGGAAGCUGAUCACAUUUUUAAACUUUCGGUAGUUAUAAAAUAACAAUAUCCAACGCGAAAAGUGAAAACACUUUACAUAUAACACAUCAGACGUUCAUCGACUGCAGGAAAAAUGAUGCUUGAUUUGGAGAAAAAGGACAAACAACAAACAAAGAUGUGGGAUUGAUCAAAUUCCUUCAUUUUAGUAUCUUUGAUUCGAUUUCCUCCAAACUCAAUCCUUUUGUCUCGGGAACCUUGAAGAGGACGAAUAACAGUGAGAGCAAUGCAAUGCCCCCGAAGAGGAGGAAAAUGUUAUCCGGGCCCAGUAGCUCCUGCAAAAGAAAAGUGCUUGCCGGUAAAGCGCUUGUAGAUUCACUCCAGGAUGAUUCGAAACUUUAUACAAGAAAUCAUAGUAAAGAUGGGUAACUUGCUUCCUGGAGAGUAAAUACUGUAGAGUAUCGAUCUUGUAAGUUGAGAUUUUGCAUCUUUUCGAGUUAUGUAAUAAAGAUUCUGGAGGGAUAUACAUCUAAUAGACACUACAAUACAUAUUAUCAUGGUGCCUCUGUUGGACGAAUGAUUCUAUAAAAAUGGAGAAUUAAACAGGAAUUGCAUCAAACACUCGCAUGUAUUGAUCAUUAAGCAAUAAAUGUUUUUGAGCGGGAAUACCUUCAAUGGUGAGAAAGCAAAGGUUACUAAAGCAUUUGAUCCGAAAUUGACGAGGACUGCGAGACUGAUUCCACGGCCUCUUGUACGGAGUGGAAAAAUCUCAGACACCAUCAGCCAACUUAUUGGACCAAAUGAUACCUGUAAUUAGGGAAAAUAUAAUCAACAUUAAUCAUCAUUAGUUAAGUGCAUUUUAUUAGGGGAGUUGAGAGUACACUUAAUUCAAUUUUGAUGAUAGCUUAAAGAUAAGAAUAAAUAUAUCGAAGGUUCAUAAGUAAAAUGUUCCACUCUGUUAUUGUAGUUAAAAAGGAGUUGUAUGUGGAAUAGUACUAAUACCAUUUAUCAACUGCCUCAAUGAUACUUCUAUAACAAGACAGUGAGACACAUUCAGAAAUCAAAAUAGACAUCAGUGAACAAAGCAGAUGAUAUCCAAUACUAUUCACAUGAACAGUAAUUUCUAAACUAAUAUGUUAUCUGAGAGAGAGAGAGAGAGAGAGAGAGAGAGAGAGAGAGAGAGAGAGAGAGAGACCUGGUAGGACCCAACAUAAAGGAGUAGAGCACCGACUGCAACCAGUGGAAAACCAGCAAGAAUCUUGUAGUAAGCUGCAAGAAGGAACAAUGACACCACCUGCACCACUCACGAAGUAUAAGAACUCAAUCCCUUUGACGAUCACAACACACUUUGAUAACAAAGUAAGCAGAUAGACUCAAGAGUACUCAUCAUCAUUAAUAUUUUCCUAGUUCUUAGAACCAUUAGUAAUGUUUUUCAAAUAAGGAUGUAAUAGAAGAAAUACACACAAUUCCACCAACGCCUCCUAUCAACAGUGGGCGCCUUCCGAGGCUGUCAACCUUUAGAACAGCUAUCCCUGUCAUAACCAACUGCAGCAAGAACAGAAUAAUUAUGACCUAGAUAACAUAUUUUAAAAUAGCAUUAUAGAGGUAACAUGUAAUUUAAUAACAGAAUACUAAAACAAGAAAAACCUGGUAAUUUUAUAACAAGCUCAUCAACUUUGAUGCAAUUUGAUUAUAAAAAUUUUGGACUUCAAUUCGAGGUGAAGGAUGAGUCAAAGUGCUAAUUUGUCAUCAAACCGCAAAUGAGUGUAGUAGUUAUAUAUGAAUCAGGUUUCAGAAAAAAGAGGCUCAAAUGACAAAUAGCUAAUAUAUCAAGGGUACCUUGAAUAGCCCGAUCACAACUGCAACCCUCGCAGCGUCAGAUGCAGCUGAAAAUCCAGCACUCUGUAAAACUCGAUAUGUAUAUUAGGAGGAAGAACAAAAUGAGAGAGAAUAUAAGAAGAUAACCCAUUUCAUAGCAAAACACCGGGAAAUUAGUAUCACAAAAAAAAAAAAUUAUUGAAGUACCUGAAGUAUUGAGGCCGCAUAGUACAAAACGCUAGGUUGACCUGUUAUCUGUCAGAAAUAAGUUCAAUUCACUUAGCUACAAGAAGCUUAUUUAUAAUCACCAUACCAAAUAAAUUGUUAAUGCAUGUUUACGGGCAAAAAAGUUAACACCUGCUGAAAGAGAACUAACCCUCCACCGAUGAUGAAGGCCUUUAAACUAGCACCUUCGAACACCUCCCAGAAACUUCCCUCCUGUUCUUGUUCAGCAUAAGCAGACUUGAGAGAGACUAAGGUAUCGUCUAUCUCUCUCUCUGAUAUCUUAUCACCAGCUGGACGGCCCCUUAAUUUUGCCAAAGCAUUAAUGGCCCUUUCCUUAUAUUCCGCCAAAGGUCCUUUGCCUUGAACUGCUCUAAAAAGUAACCAUCUUGGAGAAGGUGGCAAAACCCACAUCCCUAACCCCAUUAUAACUGCAAUAGGGGCACUAAAACUAUACAUGUAACGCCACCCUCCAAUAACAUUAAUCUGAGCACUUCCCACAAGGUAACCCAACUGCAAGAACAAUGAAAUGUCUAUUAGAUUAUAACAUAACAUUGAACAUUCAAACUGAUAGGGUGUCGCCUGGGUAGCCGCAGUAGUUAUACAUAAAUUAGAAACAGGCAAGUCAUAUUGUAUAACACAUCAGGUCGGUAAAUAGUAUCAAGGGAAUCACAGUAAUUCCAAUGAUGGAAAAAGGGAAACACUAUUAACAUGGGUAUCAUACUUACCAGAAUUCCGAGUACGAUGAAAAGCUCCUUCAGAGAAAUCAAGGUUCCACGUAUUUGCGAUGGGGAGGUCUCUGCAAUAUAAAGAGGAGCACCAUGCAUCGCCUAUAAUAGAAUAAUGAUCAGUAUAACUGAGAAAGAGAUCUAUUGGAUAAAACUUAGUAAUCUUGGUUUCUUCAUGAGAUGCAGUUCAAUGUCAAAAGUCACAUAGAAGCCGAAAACAGUAAUUUUCUUUUAAGGCCUCCUUGGUGACAGUUCCGUUGAUUAAAAUGAGAUAAGAGUUCUAGUGCUUAAGCCCUACAUGUUAUAUUCUAGGUAGUUCAACAAGUAAGAAAAAGAAUUAUGCUCAAGAAGAUUGCGCCUAAUUGAUAGUUUAGGAUGUAGACUGUACAGCAAGCUAGUUCUGUUUGGCCUGAUUUUUUCAAACAGAUUCUCUAUCCGAGUGUUAGAAGCCAGGCAAGCAAAUGAAAUUUUGUAGAUUUUCCUUUGGUGAAAAGCUGAUAUGAGCUUCUAGGUCAAAAAGCAUAUGCUCGCUAUAGAAAUUUAGCUUCUGCCUUAUCUUACUAUUGUUCAGGGAUCUUAAUGAAGAUCUUGUCCUUACUUCUUUAAACAAUACUCUAUUUCUCUAAAAGGUAUCAGCAGCUCCGUACUUUAAUAGAACUACAGAAGCUCCAGUUCAAACAACCAAGCUUUUAAUUGUAGGCUGUAGCAGCCAUCUUCUGAAAGACCUCUACUCAAGAAGCAGCAGCAAAGAACUUGGUAAACAAAGAGUUUGAAAUUUCUAGCCAAAGGACGCUGUUAGCCUUCGGGAUCUUUUCAAGAAAAACUGCAGCUGCUUCUUCACACAAAAUGAUUUAGGUUGUAUUCUCUACAUUUGGUUCAACUGUGUCGAGAAAAAAAUGAACACACAAAGAUAAAAGAUCUUGUCAGUGCUACUCACCAAACCAAUACCAAUGCCAUAAAUAAGCCGACCUAUAAUGAGAACUGCGAGGUUAGGGGCAUAUCCAGUGAUCAAGCCACCGGUAAUGUAUAGUGCAGAAGCUGUUAUCAGCUCCAUUCUUCUUCCUACAGCAAGUCCAUGGAAUUAGUUAAAACUCUGCGGCAGCAAAUCUGCCACUUUAAACUUCAGAGGGAUAAAUUCAAAAAUUAAAACUUUUGGGGAAAAACCCGCCAUUUUAAAACUUUCCAGUAGUUUUUAUGAAUUAUCCCCCAACAAAAAACAAAAAAAAAAAAGAAGCCCAAAAGGAAUUUAGAUAUAGUACCUAGAAAAUCAGCAAUGGGAUAAGCAAUGAUAGAGCCAGCAAGAGCUCCAUACAGGGAACCGCUCACCUAAAUUGAACACAAAUAGUACUGUAGCAGAUCAACAAUUGAGCUCAUUUGAGAUCGAACAAGGACUAAUAAUUCAGGGGGAAAAAAUACAAUGAAUCCGAAGAAUUACCACAAGACCAAGCUGUACGGCCGAGAGAUUGAACCAAUUGGUACCACUCAGAUCAGCAGACUGAAAAGCAAAAUUGGACAUCGCAAUGAGUAGAAGCUCCUCCAUGAAGGCGAUCGACGAUGACGAUGAUGAAGAGGACAAAGAAAAUGGUGGUGCUGAUGACGACGACGAUGAUGAUGAAUAAACUCACCUGCAAAGAGAUGGAAGCACCGGAUGUGGCCCCAAUAUCGUACCCAAAAAGGAGUCCCCCCAACGCCGGGAACAAAAACCUGAACAAAAUUAGCCAUCCAAAAGAAACCUUACAAAAUCGUUCCGAUGAUCAUAAUCCGACACUCAAUACCACAUCCACACACAAACAAAUCUUACGGGAGAAGCACGGAGGGCCAAUUGAAGCUCUCCUGCCGAUCCGCGGCAUCUCCAGCGGUAUCAGGAGGAGGAGAAUGCGACGAGUAUUCGCCUUGCGCUUGAGAUCGAACCUAAGCUUCAGGAAUCAAAAAGAGAUGAGCGCGCGCGCGCGCGCGCGAGAGAGAGAGUCUCGGAGAAUCGAGUAAUGGAACUGGAGAUUAGAGAUUAGGGUACCCGGAGGCGAGGAGCGGAGGAGGAGGAGGAGGAGGAGGAGGAGGAUGGGAGGAGAGGGGCAGCUUGGGAAAUUUGGAAAGAGCAGGACUCCAUUUUCGCCGUCUUCGUCGUCGUCGUCGUCGUCGUCGGCGGCGGCGGCGGCGGCGGAGGGAGGUGGCGGAAAUGGCGGCGGCGGCGGAGGAAGGAAAAGGUUGGGGAGGGGAAGAGAGAGGCGGAGGGUCGGUAGCGUUUUGAGGGAGAGGGCGAGGAGGGGAGGAGGAGACGAAGGCUCGCCAUUGGUUUAAGCUUUUUUGUUUUGUUUUUUUGUUCACUCUCUCUCUCUCUCUCUCUUCCUCUUUUUUAUAUUUAUUUAUAAAAUUGUAUUAAAAUAAAAAAAAAAGUCACGUUUGUUGACUCCAGCGCACGGAGAGAAAUUUGUGCGGACGAGCUCCAUACACCAGGGCACGGAUAUUGUAGCCUGCGCUGAACCGGUUGCGCCACGUCAUUCUGUGAACCGCACAGUCCUCGUGAAUGAGUAGAUUUGAGGCCUUGGCCUUUUAAAAUUCAAAAUAUAAAAAAUUAUUACAAUUUACAAAAUAUUAUUUACUCGAUAAUUUAUACAUGGUAAGAAUGACAUAUAUGCAAUGAUUUUUUCAUCGGAAUUAUUCUUUCAUAUUUCAGUAUUUAUCAUCAAUUUAUUUUAACUUUUAAAUUAGUAUAAAAAAAUUUAAUUUUUUUAAAACUCUAAAAAUAAUGAAAAAUUAUCUGAAUAAUAUAUAUUUCCAUUAAAGAUGAUUUUCUCUAGAAAAUGUCUUUUACCAUAAAAUUAUACUGUUCAUAUAAUUUUAUAUCAAUUUAAAAAUUUCGACAGUUAUCUUAUUUUAUAUAAAAUUUUACAUAGUUUUAUAAUUUUUUUUUUCAACGAAAUCUCUUACUUACCUGUUGAAUGAUAAAAAAUUAAGUAAAGAACUUUGGUGUACAAGACAAUGUCAUAGUUAGUAGGCAAUUAUUCUCCUUUGUGCACUUUAAAGGAUCGGUCCAAAGAUGACGUGGUAGACUAAGUCCAAGGAACUAUCUCCAGUAGUAAGAGCAUAAAUUGUUACUGUGGCAAACAACCUAAUUUUUGGCAGGUUUUAAUUGAUUUUUGCAUAAAAAGCCAAAAAUUUCUGAAAAAAGACACAUGGUUUAUUAGUAAAAUUAAUAUUUAUAAUAUACAGCGAAUUUUGUAAUCUUUGUCCUGUGAGUAAUGAAAAUAACUUUUUAAAUCUUAAUUAAUUCUCUUAAUUGUAGUUUACUUGGUGUUCUCAGUUUCUACACUUUUUUUUUUUUUUACUUUGUUAAACAUUUAAUUAAAUUUUAAAUUUAUAGUGAUUCCUAAAUUGUUAAUAAAUGAUAGAACGCGAUGAAUAUUAAGUUUCUUGCUAAUUAUAUUAUGGAGUACCAAUAAAGUGAUACCAUUUCUGUGACUACUGAUCAGAUUCAUUGAAUCUCGUUAACUUAAGUCAAUAAUAAUCAGAUUUAAUAAAAUAUUUAUUAAUAUUAAAAUCAACUAUGUGAAUACUACUAUUAUAAUUAUUAUUCAACGGCCAAUAAAGCCCAUGGGCCUUGACAUUUUGAGGAGCUUCAAAUGUAAAUUGUAAUAUGAAUUUACGCUGCGGAAUUUGGGUUUCCUCGGCAAAGCCAUACAAAAAAAAAAAUUUUGGGCUAGAUUUUUUUUUUUUUUUUUUUUUUUGGGGGGUGGCGGGGGGGGGAAUGGCAAUGCAGAUUGUUUUAAACUUUUGGCUUGAGUAUAUUCAAAAACUAAAUUUUAAACGUAAAAUAAUAUUUAAACACUGCACACAAAUUUAAAUAAAAUGAGAAGCUCUCCACUGAUAUCACCUUAUAAUUUUUACAUAUUUCUUCUUCCUGAUUUAUUCAAAAUUUGUUAACAAUCAUUCGAGUUUAUUUCUCGUAUAGAAACAAAAACUCCGGAAAUCACAAGCUUUCCAUUUAAAUAUAAAUCACUCUAAUUACAUUUACACCAUCAAAUAAUUUUUUAGGACUCUUUUAAUAUGAAUUUAUGAUAGAUAAAAUGAUAAUUCGAAUCCGUUUUGGACUAUUGAAAUACUAUAUAUCGGAUAUAUAAUAUUAAUGUCGAUAUAAUAUUAUUACGAAAAGGUGCUUUUUAGAAAUUUAUUAUAUUAUAUAUAUAUAAUAGACUAUCGAUGUACCAAGUCCUUGGUACUUGAGUUUUCUACGUUAGAUUCUACCCUUUGAUCUUUUAUCCGUUUAGAUUCAUACUAUUAAACAACACCCACUACUCUAGGGGACACUCGUAUAUUUGAACGCGGGGGCCACUAUCAUCUGAACGCACAUCUUUUCAUCCAACGGCGAAAAAGUACAAGGGUGGUACUAUGAUAGUAUAGUAGCAAAAAAUACUACUUAUAUAAAUUUAUAUAUAUAUAUAUAUUGAAAGUAUAUUAUAUAUAUAUAUUAUAGAGUCCGGAUAUUAUGUAAUUAAUAGUACGCAGCAUUUGGUGCUACAAGUUAUUCGCCUUUCGAUCUACCUUUUUUAAUCCCUUCUUCCGUUGAUGCUACUAUUCGGAACCAACACCCACUCAACCUAGGCGGUGCACACAUCUAACCAAAAUCUCUUAAUUAUUGCCAAAACUUGGUCGCACAAGUUGACUUGGUACAUUAAUAGCCAUAGUAGCCAGUUUAUAUAUAUAUAUAUAUAUAUAUAUACAAUUAUUUUUCCAACAAAAAACUUCAAAUUUGAUUUAUUUUUAUUUAUUAUCAAGUGAUCAAUAGGUACGGCCAUGUAGGCCAUAUAAAGAGACGACAAAGCCAAACGUGUGCAUUGGAACAACCGCAAAGUAUUUAGAUGGAAACAAAUAAAAUUAUUAUUAUUUUUUCUUAAAAAUAAUUUAUUAUUUUUGGAAGGUUAUUAAAAUCCAAAUUAUAUAUAAUACAAACAAAACAAUCAAUCAAAGGUAAAAUUGCUUGAAGUCCCUCUCAACCGUGGUCCUUUUUGAAAUGACCUCUCAACUACAUUCUUUUUGUUUGACAUAAUUUUUUUCAAUUCUUUUUUUGAACUUCAUUAUUUUUAGCCGAUCAUAAUAAAGAUUAUGUUAUAUUUAAUGUAAAACAUAACAACAUUUUUUUACAUUAAACAGGACACUACAAUUUAAAUUAAAAAAAAAUACAAAAAAAAAUAUUAUAGUGCAAGAACCAAUGGGGGUUCUCAAUAAAUAUGAAGUUUUUUUAGAACGAAGCUCAUGCAUGCAUGUAUGUAUGUGUUUAGCAGAGAGUGGGUAGGGAAUAAAUGGCCGUAGCUGUUGCUUAGAGUGGUGCGUUUUGAAGAAGCCCCACUAAUUCAAGCGUGGUUGUAAUACAAAACUGCAUGUGAACUUCUACUUAUAAAAGCUAGCACAGGAGAGAAAGAAAGAAAGGAAAAAAAAGAAAAAGAAAAAAGAAAAGGAGUUUGUAGGUAAAAGUGCAUGCUUCUGAGAAAAGCAAGUGUUGGCUUAAAUGGACCAGCAUCCUGUCCUAUGGCGGGAGGCCAUGUGAGCCGAGUCAUGUUCGAAAUGGCGUGAGACUGGGUUGGGCCGAGUCAUGUUCGAAGUGGCGUGAGGCCAGGUGGGCUAAGUCACAAUCGAGACCCGUGGGCGUUGUUUCUGUACGCUUUAAGUGAAUUGGUUGCGUAUUUCUAACCGCUCGAGCUUUUGGGAUUAAUGGUUAGCACUAACGAUCCGACAGCAAGAUCUAGAGAGAGAGAGGGGAUGGUUUGUAGUAAUAGAGGAGAGAGAUGGACUUUAGCUGGAACAACGGCUCUGGUCACAGAAGGCACCAAAGGAAUUGGGUAUAGUAGUAUAAUAAUAAUAAUAAUAAUAAUAAUGAUAAUAAUCCAUAUGAAUUCUCACUUCUUCAUAUCUUUUCUUUUCUUUUUUUGUCACCGCAAAAACAAAAAAAACAAGAGCACAUGGUUGAUGAUUUUAUAAUUAAAUUUGUGUUAUUAUUGGUUUUUUUGCUUGUUUAUGUCACUUCAUCAAAAAAUGCAUUUCUUUUUCUUUUGAAGAGAAGUGGAUCGAAAAUUUUGUGGAGUUUAAGGUAUAUAAAGGAGAGGUUGAUCUUAAAUUUUGUAAAGAAUAAGUUAUAUGUCUCCGUUUGGUUCGUAUAUAAGCAAGAACUAGUUAUUAAAGGGAUAGGUACAAAUAUGAAAAUAAGAAAAAUAACAUUAAUUUAGAUGAAAAUUAGAUUGUUCCUCAGGAUAAGAAAAAUAGUGUUUGAAUAAAUAAUAUGGAAUAAGAAAAUAGUGGGUAGUUAUAUAUAGAAAAUGAAGGUAUUGGUGGGGAUAAUUAUACCAGCUUAUUUCAGAUACCCGAGAGCUACUAUUCUCGAAUAAAAAAAUAGCGUUUGGAUAUAAAGGGUGGGAUAAGGAGUUAUUCCACCCCUUAUCCCCAAUCCAAACCGGGCCUGCUCAUGAUCAUCAGGGAACAAAAAAGGUCUAGGCCCACUUGGACUUGAAUGUGAAUGCAAAUCACAAAAAGAGAAAAAAUAAUAAUAAUAAAUUAGGAGGUUGCAUUUUGUAUGGAGGAAAUUUAUUUGGUGUGAUUAACUAUCUUGCCUGGAUUUCUAUUAGACUCUCUGACAUGCACCUAAAAUCCGUAAUUAAUAUUAUUUAUCUAUUCUUGGCUACUUUAAGUUUUAUAUAUUUGCUUUGAAUUGAAAAUUUUAUCCAGGCAUGCCAUUGUCGAAGAGUUAGCAGGAUUUGGUGCAACAGUACAUACAUGUUCUAGGAAUGAAGCAGACCUCCAGAAUUGCUUGGAGAAAUGGGAAAAGAUGAACUUGAAAGUCACUGGAUCAGUGUGCGAUGUCUCUUCUAGGAGUGAAAGAGAGAAGUUAAUGGAGAGGGUUCAAUCCAUUUUUCAUGGAAAGCUCAACAUCCUUGUACGUAAUAUAUAACUAUCUAUCACCAACCACCCCUAGUACAAGUAGUAAAGGACUUAAUGAUCGGUACCUAAUGUUUCAAAUUUGAACUCUAAUUAUUUCACAUUUUUAGAUAAUUUUUUUCUAAAAAAACAUGACCGAAGUGAUAAGUUAUCUAUAGUUUUUCCUAGUAUUACAACAUUCUAUCAAAAGUUAUUUAAGUUUAUGUGACAUGGAUAGGGAAUGAGCUGAGUUUUACAGCUCCAAGUAACUUGCUUUGAGUGAAGAGUAUAAUUUAUCCAUUUUUUUCUUUGGUUUUUUUUGGUUUUUGUUUUAGUCCUUUUUUGUUUCGGUUGUUUUUUAUGUUUUUCGAGACUGCAUUGCCCUAAAAGUUAUUUAAGUUUCUGUGUCUAAGCAUAAAGAGAUAAGUGGUGCACAAAGUACGUGUUUUCCAAAGAACUCAAUAGCUGUUAUUAAUUUGCCUUCGAACCGCAUAUAUUUUUAAGAAAUAGCUACUAAAAUUAACAAUUAAGAGAUCCAUUAAUCCAUGUUUGUCUGUUUCACUGGUUAGAGCUACUAUACUUUUAUGAGCAUAAGUUUUUUUGUACUCAUAAAUUUUCGGCCAUUAGAUAAAAAUAUAUGCGGUUAACAUGAUAGUAGUCCUCUAGGGUUGAGUCGGUGGUUGAUUGAAUAGUAUGAUUUAACGGGUGAAAAUGAUCAAAGGAACAUAUCGAAUGUCCGAAAACUUAUAAGUAUAAAAGGACUUAUAUUAUACUUAUAAAAAUAUAGUAGCCUGACUCGUGUUUCACGCGCAGGUUAAUAAUGCAGGAAUAAUCCGCAUGAAGUCAACAACAGAGCACACAGCAGAGGACUACUCUGUUACCAUGGCCACAAAUUUUGAAUCUGCUUUCCAUCUGAGCCAAUUAGCUCACCCCCUUCUUAAGGCAUCAGGGAAGGGCAAUAUUGUCUUUAUAUCCUCCAUUGCAGGGAUCAUAGGGUUCCCUUCUUUCUCCAUCUAUGCAGCAACUAAAGGUAGAUAGAUACAUGUGAAUUUGAAAAAAAAAAUUUUGUUUAACUAAAUUUUGAUAUGCUUGAUGUUUGGUUUUCCUCUGAUCAGGAGCGAUGAAUCAAGUCACAAAAAAUCUGGCUUGCGAAUGGGCAGGCGACAAUAUACGCGUAAAUUGCGUAGCUCCAGGACCAAUCAGAACUCAUAUCGUGCAAUCGGUGCUGCUCUGAUAUUAUUUUAAAUUUAUAUAAAAUAAUAAUUAUUUUUUAAUAUAUUUUUAACAUUUAUAUUCAACAGAUAUAUAACUCUUAUAAUUUUUAUUGGAUUGGAGAACAAACGAUUCUCCAAUUACUGAACAGUUCUACUAAUGUGCGAGUGAAUAUUAGCGAAUUAAUUGCUUCUCUUCUUGUUAAUUGUUAUCCUUCAAUAGCUACAUAGAAAUGAGGAGCUCAUGGCCAGAGAAUUUGUUCGGAUUCCGCUCGGGCGAAUCGGCGAGCCGGAGGAGGUGGCUUCGACGGUGGCUUUUCUUUGCAUGCCUGCCGCGUCGUACAUCACCGGCCAAGUCAUCUGCGUCGACGGCGGCCGCACAAUCAACGGUGCUUCCUAGUGUCCUCCCUAGCAGGUUUAUGAAGCUGCAGAAACUUUUAUUUAGGUGUUGAAACUUGGAACUAAGCUUCAGAUAUGUAGAAGCUCUAAGCAUAGUUAUGGAAUUGGAUGUGUUGCGUUUAGGUUCAUUUCAAAUGUGNUAACUAUAGGGGUGAGUCAACACAGGUCUCUGAGGGAUAAAAAAGUAUAUAUAUAUAUUUUUUAUAUUAACUUUUUAUGUGGGAUAAAUAAAAAAUUUUAAAAAUUUUAAAGGGCACGUAAGCAAUUGCCUCAUGAUUGUUUAUGUCAUAUAAUGGCUACAUAAAUAGUAAUAAUACAUAACAUGGGAUCGAUGUGACUACGUAUUAUUGUGUGAAAAAGUCAUAAAUAAAGUGAUUGUUGUGAUCAAAUCAGUCACUCAAAAACUGCCAAGGUAGAUUUUUCUCUCGCUGUCUUAGUAUGUAUUAUGUAGAAGUUUCAGCAUAACAUUUGACCAUCAUUAUCGACCGUUCCUAUCGUAAAUAGUAAAAAAUUUGAUAGUUGAUACUCGAGAUUUCGAGUACGAAUCCUAAUUGAUUUACAUUUUCAACUAAGUUUAUUUAUAAAUAAAUAUUUUCAACGAAAGGUGUUAACUACAUAUCUUUCUCAAAAAAAAAAAAAAACAUUUGACCAUCGUUAUUGCAUCAUCUAUGGAGAAGCAGGAUCGAUCGAUCUCCACCAUUGGAUCCAAUUAAUUUAUUUUUUCGCAUGACAUUCUUUCAUAUUUUAAUUUUUUUAAUAAAAAAUAGUAUAUUAUCUAUUAAUUUCAUUCAUUAAAUAAAUAAAUUUAUCUACAAAAUAUAGAGAUAGUUGAGGCCUCAAGAAGACUACGUACAUUCCACACCUAAGUGCCCAGGAAAAAAUAAAUAUUAAAUUACUAUUAACUUUGUUAAAUUUAAUAAUUUUAAUUACUUUAAUUGAAUAAAAUUAAAAUAACUAGAACUAGUAGUUAAUAGUAGCGUUAAAUUUAAUUAUAUUUCUAAUUUAUAAAAGUAUAACAACUUAAAUAGAAGAAAAGUUGUUGGUAUGCCGGCCGAAAAAUUAUAUAGUCAAGAGCCUAUUUUGGAACGGCAUAUAGUUUAAGGGUGUUCUCAGUGAAUUUGAAUUUGUUAACCUUAAUUAAAUAGAAAUUAAAUUUUGGAAAAAAAAAAAAACAAAAAAAAAAGAUUUGACAUUGCUGGUAGAGUUUUAACACCUUUCUUGUUGGAUUCGAACUUGAAAUCUUAGGUAAUCAUCAAAUUCUUUAUCACUUGCGCUAAGAAUAGUUGCUUACGUCUCUCUUGUUUUUUUUUUUUUUUUUGAGAGAUAGGUAGCAUGCUACCUGCUUCGUUUAUUUCAUUUAAAAAUAAACUUAGCCGAAAAUAUAAAUCAAUUAGGAUUCGAACUUGGGACCUCGAGUACCAACUACCAAGUCUUUUGUCACUUGCUCUAGAGACGGUCAGUUACGGCUCUCUUGUUUGUGUUUUUUUUUUUGAGAGAGAGAGAUAUGCUACAUGCUUCGUUUAUUUCAUUUAGAAAUAAACUUAGCUAGAAAUGUGAAUCAAUUAGGAUUCGAACUUGGGUCUCGGAUACCAAUCACCAAGCUCUUUGCCACUUGCUCUCGGGAUGGUCGGUGUUACGUUUCUCUUGUUCGUAUGUGUUUAUAGGAGAGUGGCUAGAGGAUAUGUGGCCGUCCAUUAAUUCGUCCUUUUUUAAGAAGCCCUGCUUUAUUGUGAGAAAAAGCGCUUUUCAAAAGAGAUAGAGCGACCUAGAGAGAGAGAGAGAGAGAGAGAGAGAGAGAGAGAGAGAGAGAGAGAGAGGAUGGAUUGUAGUAAUAGAGGAGAGAGAUGGUCUCUUGCUGGAGCAACGGCUCUGGUCACGGGAGGCACCAAAGGGAUUGGGUAUAAUACUACAAUUCACAUCAAUUCUCACUGUUCAUAUCUUUUCUUUUUUUUCGAAGUUCUAAACCAGCACUUAAUUAGAUCACAUAAGUAACUUUAUUUGUAUGCUAUAGGUUAAUUUACAUUUUGUUUAUUUGUUCUGAAUUGAAAAUUUUAUUCAGGCAUGCCGUCGUUGAAGAGUUAGCAGGAUUUGGCGUGACAGUACAUGUAUGUGCUAGAAAUGAAGUAGAUCUCCAAAAUUGCUUGAAGAGAUGGGAUGAGAUGAAACUAAAAGUUACUGGAUCAGUGUGUGAUGUCUCUUCGAGAAGCGAAAGAGAGAAGCUGAUGGAGAGGGUUCAAUCCAUUUUCCAUGGAAAGCUCAACAUACUUGUAAGCAAUAUAAAACUAUAUAUCUAUCUUAUUUGUAUGUUUUACGUACGUAAUAUUGAAAGACUAUAGAUUGAUUUAUGAAGAAGUUAAUUAAUGAUAUGUAGUUUCUAAUCAUUUCACCAAUUGCAUCUACUAAUAGACGUAUAAAUUUUACAGAACACUGAAAACAGAUAACAAUAAUAAUAUUGGUGGAAUUGGAAAUAAAAAAAAUUAUAAAUUAGAAGAAACUUAGAUUUAUAUUAGCCUUUUUCGCUUGCUUCUAAAACAACUUCUCUCGGUUUGAGAAGAAGAAGCAUCAAAUUUGAUGCUUGGAGUUUUUAGCGACACUAUUUGAGCCAUGCUAAUCUAGCUUCUAGGCUUCUCUCAGCUUGAUAGGUAAAAGCUAGCAAGUAGGUAGCUAGUCAAAAAUAGUUUCUAGGUUUUAAAAGAAGAAUCUCCUAUUUGAACUAUUUGAGCCACGCUGAUCUAGCUAUAAAUAUAAAGCAACAAGAAUUUCGGAUACCAGCCUUUGAGCCUUCCCUGUACUGGUUAUUCUAUACAAAAGUUAUUACGAGAAAAUUAAUGAAAGUGUUACGACGGGCGGAAAAAAUUAGGAAGCAAAGUGAAAAUGAGCCAUACGCUAGGGGCCUAUAUAAAGGUUUUUCGUCCAUCAAAAGUCCAUGUUCAACUAUAUAUAAGGAGAAAAAUGAUACAUAAAUCAAGACAUUUUACAACAACUGAUCAAUAGCUGUUAUUUGUCUUUGACGAAUAUUCUUCUAAUCUUUAAAACAGUUAUAGGAUCCCAUUGAUUCAAAUAUAUGUUUUUGUUCUCUUUUUUUAGGUUAACAACGCAGGGACAGCCUAUAAUAAGCCAACUACAGAGUACACAGCUGAGGACUACUCUUUUUUGAUGGCCACAAACUUUGAAUCUGCUUUCCAUUUAAGCCAAUUAGCCCACCCCCUCCUUAAGGCAUCAGGGAGGGGUAAUAUUGUCUUUGUAUCCGCCAUUGCAGGAAUUAUAGGCUUACCUAUUCUCACCAUUUACGCAGCCGCUAAAGGUACAAAUUUUGAAUUCAAAUUAUGUUUGAAUAAAUUAAUUUGAUAGUUCGAUAUUCGAAAUGUUAUUAACCGUCUCUUCCUGAUCAGGAGCAACGAAUCAAGUCGCGAAGAAUCUGGCCUGCGAGUGGGCGGGCGACAACAUACGCGUAAACUGCGUAGCUCCAGGGCCAAUCAAAACUCCACUUAUGAUACCAGUUACGUUUUCGGACCUUGUUCUUUUGUACAAAUUAAUAAUAGUAAUAACUUGCGCUGUUAUGUUACUCACUAAGAUAAUUCUCCUUUUUGUUAUUCUUCGAUAGAUGCUUGACAAUGAGGAGUUCACAGCAAGAGAAUUUGUUCGGAUUCCGCUCGCGCGAAUCGGCGAGCCGGAGGAGGUGGCUUCGACGGUGGCUUUUCUUUGCAUGCCGGCCGCGUCGUACAUCACCGGCCAAGUCAUCUGCGUCGACGGCGGCCGCACAAUCAACGGUGCUUCCUAGUGCCCUCCUUAGCAGGUUUAUGAAGCUGCAGAAACUUUUAUUUAGGUGUUGAAACUUGGAACUAAGCUUCAGAUAUAGAUAUGUAGAAACUCUAAGCAUAGUUAUGGAAUUGGAUGUGUUGCGUUUAGGUUCAUUUCAAAUGUGUGGUGUGCGUGUAUUUUACAAAGUGUUGUUACAUAUAUUGUUUGGUGCUUGGUCACAUUCUCGAAUAAAUUGCUAUUUGUGAUAUGAUGAUCCACUUAAACUUUCAUAGUGCGUUUUGAUUGAAUUUUUUUUUUUUUUUGAGAAAUAAUUUGAUUGAAUUUAUAAUAGUAAGUUCGCACAAGAUUUAACUAUCGAUUAAAUAAAUAUUGAAAUAAUUACUAAUAUAUUUUUCAAAACUUUUAAAAUAUCUUACAUAUUUUAUUUUUUUAAUUUUAAAUAUAUUGUUAGUAUAUUUUUCUGUUAUUUAAAAAUAAUCCUGCUAUUACUAUUCGUUAAGUCUUUUCGGAUUAAAUUAGGAUUAAAUUUCUACCAAAAAUAAAAAAAGUCAAAAUAUCUUUUUUGUCUGUAAGUCAAGAACAAAUACGAAAUAUUAGUGACGGUAGAAGAAUAUGUUUGAAAGAAUAAAAAAUUAAAAUAUUUUUUUUGUCCCUAACUUAAAAAUAAAUAAGAAAAGUUGAUAAUGACCAAAAAAAAAUAUAUUUGAAAGAGCAAAAUAGUAAUUUUAUAAAAAUAACGGCUGUUCUUAAUCGUUUACUAACAUAAUCUAAUUUUACAGAUAUAUUUGAAAGAACUUAAAAAGAUAAAAAAAAAUAAAUUUUGACGAAAUAGAUAACACGCGAGCCGCUUCAUUUAUUGAAAAAAUAAACUAAGCUAUAGGGGUGAGUCAACACAGAUCCCUAUGGGAUAAAAAAGUAUAUAUAUAUUUUUUAUAUUAACUUUUUAUAUGUGAUAAAUAAAAAAUUUUGAAAAUUUUAAAAGAUACGUAAGCAAUUGCCUCAUGAUCACAUAAAUAAUAAUAAAAUGUUACAUGGGAUGGAUGUGACUACGUAAUGUUGUGUGAAAAAGUCAUAAAUAAAGUGAUUGUCGUGAUCAAAUCAGUCACUCAAAAACUGUCAAAGUACAUUUUUCUCUUGCUGCCCUAGUAUGUACUAUGUUGAAGUUCAGCAUAACAUUUGACCAUCAUUACCGACCGUCUCAAAAACAAAUGACAAAAGAUGAGCUACGUAGUUGGCAUCUGAGAUUCAAGUUCAAAUCCUAGUUGAUUCAUAUUUCCAGCUAAGUUUAUUUUUAAAUAAAAUAAACGAAGCGGGUAGCAUGUUAUUUAUCUCUCUCAAAAAAAAAAAAACCAGUUAACCAUCAUUACGGACUGUCUCUAUUGCAAGUGGUAAAAGAUUUGAUAGUUGAUACCCGAGAUUUCGAGUACGAAUCCCAAUUAAUUCACAUUUUAAACUAAGUUUAUUUCUAAAUAAAAUAAACGAAACAAGUAGCAUACUAACUACCUAUCUCUCUAAAAAAAAAAAAAAACAUUUGACCAUCGUUAUUGCAUCAUCUAUGGAGAAGCAGGAUCGAUCUCCACCGUUGGAUCCAAUUAAUUUAUUUUUUCGCAUGACAUUCUUUCAUAUUUUAAUUUUUUUAAUAAAAAAUAGUAUAUUAUCUAUUAAUUUCAUUUAUUAAAUAAAUAAAUUUAACCUACAAAAUAUAUAUAGAGAUAGCUGAGGCCUCAAGAAGACUUCGUGCAUUCCACACAUAAGUGCCCAUGAAAAAUAAAUAUUAAAUUACUAUUAACUUUGUUAAAUUUAAUAAUUUUAAUUACUUUAAUUGAAUAAAAAUAAAAUAACUAGAACCAGUAGUUAAUAGUAGUGUUAAAUUUAAUUAUAUUUCUAAUUUAUAAAAGUAUAACAAUUUAAAUCGAAGAAAAGUUGUUCGUGUGCCGGCUAAAAAAUUAUAUAGUCAAGAGCCUAUUUUGAAACGGCACAUAGUUUAAGGGUGUUCGCAGUGAAUUUGAAUUUGUUAACCUUAAUUAAAUAGAAAUUAAAUUUUGGAAAAAAAAAAACAAAAAAAAGAUUUGAUAUUGCUGGUAGAGUUUUAACACCUUUUUUGUUGGAUUUGAACUUGAAAUGUCAAGUAUCAACCAUUAAAUUUUUUAUCACUUGCGCUAAGGAUAGUCGCUUACGUCUCUCUUGUUCUUUUUUUUUUUUUUUUGAGAGAUAGAUAGCAUGCUAUCUGCUUUGUUUAUUUUAUUUAGAAAUAAACUUAAUUAGCUAAAAAUAUGAAUCAAUUAGGAUUCGAACUUGAAACCUCGGAUACUAACUAUCAAAUCUUUUGCCACUUAUUUUAGAGACGGUCAGUUACGUCUCUCUUGUUCGUAUGUGUUUAUAAGAGAGCCGCGAGAGGAUAUGUGGCCGUCCAUUAAUUCGUGCUUUUCUAAGAAGCCCUGCUUUAUUGUGAGAAAAAGCGCUUUUCAAAAGAGAUAGAGCUACCUAGAGAGAAGAGAGAGAGAGAGAGAGAGAGGAUGGAUUGUAGUAAUAGAGGAGAGAGAUGGUCUCUUGCUGGAGCAACGGCUCUGGUCACGGGAGGCACCAAAGGGAUUGGGUAUAAUACUACAAUUCACAUCAAUUCUCACUGUUCAUAUCUUUUCUUUUCUUUUCUUUUUUUCUUUUGUAAAGUUCUGAAACAGGCACUUAAUUAGAUCACAUAAGUAACUUUAUUUGUCUGCUAUAGGUUAAUUUACAUUUUGUUUAUUUGUUCUGAAUUGAAAAUCUUAUUCAGGCAUGCUGUUGUUGAAGAGUUAGCAGGAUUUGGCGCGACAGUACAUGUAUGUGGUAGAAACGAAGUAGACCUCCAAAAUUGCUUGAAGAGAUGGGAUGAGAUGAAACUGAAAGUCACUGGAUCAGUGUGUGAUGUCUCUUCAAGAAGCGAAAGAGAGAAGCUGAUGGAGAGGGUUCAAUCCAUUUUCCAUGGAAAGCUCAACAUCCUUGUAAGCGAUAUAAAACUAUCUCAUGUGUAUAUUUUACGUAAUACUGAAAGACUAUAGAUUGAUUUAUGAAGAAGUUAAUUAAUGAUAUGUAGUUUCUAAUCAUUUCACCAAUUGCAUCUACUAAUAGACGUAUAAAUUUUACAGAACACUGAAAACAGAUAACAAUAAUAAUAUUGGUGGAAUUGGAAAUAAAAAAAAUUAUAAAUUAGAAGAAACUUAGAUUUAUAUUAGCCUUUUUCGCUUGCUUCUAAAACAACUUCUCUCGGUUUGAGAAGAAGAAGCAUCAAAUUUGAUGCUUGGAGUUUUUAGCGACACUAUUUGAGCCGUGCUAAUCUAGCUUUUAGGCUUCUCUCAGCUUGAUAGGUAAAAGCUAGCAAGUAGGUAGCUAGUCAAAAAUAGCUUUUAGGCUUCAAAAGCAGAGUCUCCUAUUUGAACUAUUUGAGCCAUGCUGAUCUAGCUGUAAAUAUAAAACAACAAGAUCUCGAACUUAGGAUUUCGAAUACCAGUCUUCAUGUCUUCUCUGUACUGGUUAUUCUAUACAAAAGUUAUUACGAGAAAAUUAAUGAAAAUGUUACUACGGGCGGAAAACAUUAGGAAGCAAAGUGAAAUCGAGCCAUACACUAGGGACCUAUACAAAGGUUUUCUUCCAUCAAAAGUCCAUGUUCAACUAUAUAUAUAAGGAGAAAUAUGAUACAUAAAUCAAGACAUUUUCAACAACUCAAUAGCUGUUAUUUGUCUUCAAAUACCCUUCUAAUUUUUAACAAUUAUAGGAUCCCAUUAAUUCAAAUUUGUUUUGGUUCUUUUUUUUAGGUUAACAACGCAGGGACAGGCUAUACUAAGCCAACUACAGAGUACACAGCUGAGGACUACUCUUUUUUGAUGGCCACAAACUUUGAAUCUGCUUUCCAUUUAAGCCAAUUAGCCCACCCCCUCCUUAAGGCAUCAGGGAGGGGUAAUAUUGUCUUUGUAUCCUCCAUUGCAGGAGUUAUAGGGUUCCCUGCUCUCACCAUUUACGCCGCCACAAAAGGUACAAAUUUUGAAUUCAAAUCAUGUUUAAAUAAAUUUUGAUAGUUUGAUAUUCGAAAUGUUGUUAUUGUCUCUGUGCUUUUCCUUCCCGAUCAGGUGCCAUGAAUCAAGUCACGAAGAAUCUGGCCUGCGAGUGGGCGGGCGACGACAUACGCGUAAACUGCGUCGCUCCAGGGCCAAUCAAAACUCCACUCAUGAAACCAGUUACGUUUUCGGACCUUGUUCUUUUAUACAAAUUAACAAUAGUAAUAACUUACGUGUUAUGUCACUCACUAAGAUGAUUCUCCUUUUUGUUAUGCUUCGACAGCUGCUUGACAAUGAGGAGCUCACAGCAAGAGAAGCUGCUCGGGCUCCGCUCGCACGAAUCGGCGAGCCGGAGGAGGUGGCUGCAAUGGUGGCUUUUCUUUGCAUGCCGGCCGCGUCGUACAUCACCGGCCAAGUCAUUUGCGUCGACGGCGGCCGCACCAUCAAUGGUGCUUCGUAGCGUCCUCCCUAGCAGGUUUGUAGAAGCUGCAGAAACUUAAUUUAAGGUGUUGAAACUUGGAACUAAGCUUCAGAUAUGUAGAAGCUCUAAGCAUAGUUAUGGAAUUGGAUGUGUUGCGUUUAGGUUCAUUUCAAAUGUGUGGUGUGCUUGUAUUUUACAGAGUGUUNAUAUAUAUAUAUUUGAAAGGGUAAAAUAGUAAUUUUAUAAAAAUAACGAUUGUUCCUAAUCGUUCACUAACAUAAUCUAAUUUUACAGAUGCAUUUGAAAGAACUUAAAAAGAUAAAAAAAUAAUAAUAAUAAUUUUGAGAAGUAUAUAGCUCGCCAGCAACUUUAUUUAUUGAAAAGAUAACCUUAACUAUAGGGGUGAGUCAACACAGGUCUCUGAGGGAUAAAAAAGUAUAUAUAUAUAUUUUUUAUAUUAACUUUUUAUGUGGGAUAAAUAAAAAAUUUUAAAAAUUUUAAAGGGCACGUAAGCAAUUGCCUCAUGAUUGUUUAUGUCAUAUAAUGGCUACAUAAAUAGUAAUAAUACAUAACAUGGGAUCGAUGUGACUACGUAUUAUUGUGUGAAAAAGUCAUAAAUAAAGUGAUUGUUGUGAUCAAAUCAGUCACUCAAAAACUGCCAAGGUAGAUUUUUCUCUCGCUGUCUUAGUAUGUAUUAUGUAGAAGUUUCAGCAUAACAUUUGACCAUCAUUAUCGACCGUUCCUAUCGUAAAUAGUAAAAAAUUUGAUAGUUGAUACUCGAGAUUUCGAGUACGAAUCCUAAUUGAUUUACAUUUUCAACUAAGUUUAUUUAUAAAUAAAUAUUUUCAACGAAAGGUGUUAACUACAUAUCUUUCUCAAAAAAAAAAAAAAACAUUUGACCAUCGUUAUUGCAUCAUCUAUGGAGAAGCAGGAUCGAUCGAUCUCCACCAUUGGAUCCAAUUAAUUUAUUUUUUCGCAUGACAUUCUUUCAUAUUUUAAUUUUUUUAAUAAAAAAUAGUAUAUUAUCUAUUAAUUUCAUUCAUUAAAUAAAUAAAUUUAUCUACAAAAUAUAGAGAUAGUUGAGGCCUCAAGAAGACUACGUACAUUCCACACCUAAGUGCCCAGGAAAAAAUAAAUAUUAAAUUACUAUUAACUUUGUUAAAUUUAAUAAUUUUAAUUACUUUAAUUGAAUAAAAUUAAAAUAACUAGAACUAGUAGUUAAUAGUAGCGUUAAAUUUAAUUAUAUUUCUAAUUUAUAAAAGUAUAACAACUUAAAUAGAAGAAAAGUUGUUGGUAUGCCGGCCGAAAAAUUAUAUAGUCAAGAGCCUAUUUUGGAACGGCAUAUAGUUUAAGGGUGUUCUCAGUGAAUUUGAAUUUGUUAACCUUAAUUAAAUAGAAAUUAAAUUUUGGAAAAAAAAAAAAACAAAAAAAAAAGAUUUGACAUUGCUGGUAGAGUUUUAACACCUUUCUUGUUGGAUUCGAACUUGAAAUCUUAGGUAAUCAUCAAAUUCUUUAUCACUUGCGCUAAGAAUAGUUGCUUACGUCUCUCUUGUUUUUUUUUUUUUUUUUGAGAGAUAGGUAGCAUGCUACCUGCUUCGUUUAUUUCAUUUAAAAAUAAACUUAGCCGAAAAUAUAAAUCAAUUAGGAUUCGAACUUGGGACCUCGAGUACCAACUACCAAGUCUUUUGUCACUUGCUCUAGAGACGGUCAGUUACGGCUCUCUUGUUUGUGUUUUUUUUUUUGAGAGAGAGAGAUAUGCUACAUGCUUCGUUUAUUUCAUUUAGAAAUAAACUUAGCUAGAAAUGUGAAUCAAUUAGGAUUCGAACUUGGGUCUCGGAUACCAAUCACCAAGCUCUUUGCCACUUGCUCUCGGGAUGGUCGGUGUUACGUUUCUCUUGUUCGUAUGUGUUUAUAGGAGAGUGGCUAGAGGAUAUGUGGCCGUCCAUUAAUUCGUCCUUUUUUAAGAAGCCCUGCUUUAUUGUGAGAAAAAGCGCUUUUCAAAAGAGAUAGAGCGACCUAGAGAGAGAGAGAGAGAGAGAGAGAGAGAGAGAGAGAGAGAGAGAGAGAGGAUGGAUUGUAGUAAUAGAGGAGAGAGAUGGUCUCUUGCUGGAGCAACGGCUCUGGUCACGGGAGGCACCAAAGGGAUUGGGUAUAAUACUACAAUUCACAUCAAUUCUCACUGUUCAUAUCUUUUCUUUUUUUUCGAAGUUCUAAACCAGCACUUAAUUAGAUCACAUAAGUAACUUUAUUUGUAUGCUAUAGGUUAAUUUACAUUUUGUUUAUUUGUUCUGAAUUGAAAAUUUUAUUCAGGCAUGCCGUCGUUGAAGAGUUAGCAGGAUUUGGCGUGACAGUACAUGUAUGUGCUAGAAAUGAAGUAGAUCUCCAAAAUUGCUUGAAGAGAUGGGAUGAGAUGAAACUAAAAGUUACUGGAUCAGUGUGUGAUGUCUCUUCGAGAAGCGAAAGAGAGAAGCUGAUGGAGAGGGUUCAAUCCAUUUUCCAUGGAAAGCUCAACAUACUUGUAAGCAAUAUAAAACUAUCUAUCUUAUUUGUAUAUUUUAUGUAAUAUUGAAAGACUGUAGAUUGAUUUAUGAAGAAGUUAAUUAAUGAUACGUAGUUUCUAAUUGUUGCAUCGAUUGCAUCUACUAAUAGACGUAUAAAUUUUACAGAACACUAGAAAUAGAUAAUAAUAAUAAUAUUGAUGGAAUUGAAGAUUAAAAAAAAAUUAUAAAUCAGAAGAAACUUAGAUUUAUAUUAGCCUUUUUCGCUUGCUUUUAAAAUAAUUUCUCUGAGUUUGAGGAGAAGAAGAAGCAUCAAAUUUAACGCUUGGAGCUUUUAACAAUACGAAGUAAAGCUAGCAAGUAGCCAGCUAGUCGAAAAUAGCUCCUAGGCUUCAAAAGCAGAAUCUCCUAUUUGAACUAUUUGAGCCACGCUGAUCUAGCUGUAAAUAUAAAGCAACAAGAUUUCGAAUUUAGGAUUUUAAAUACCUACCUUCAAGCCUUCUCUGUACCGGUUAUUCUAUACAAAAGUUAUUACGAGAAAAUUAAUGAAAAUGUUACUACGGGCGGAAAAAAUUAGGAAGCAAAGUGAAAUCGAGCCAUACACUAGGGACCUAUACAAAGGUUUUCUUCCAUCCAAAAGUCCAUGUUCAACUAUAUAUAUAAGGAGAAAAAUGAUACAUAAAUCAAGACAUUUUCAACAACUGAUCAAUAGCUGUUAUUUGUCUUUGACGAAUAUCCUUCUAAUCUUUAAAACAGUUAUAGGAUCCCAUUGAUUCAAAUAUAUGUUUUUGUUCUCUUUUUCUAGGUUAACAACGCAGGGACAGGCUAUCUUAAGCCAACUACAGAGUACACAGCUGAGGACUACUCUUUUUUGAUGGCCACAAACUUUGAAUCUGCUUUCCAUUUAAGCCAAUUAGCCCACCCCCUCCUUAAGGCAUCAGGGAGGGGUAAUAUUGUCUUUGUAUCCUCCAUUGCAGGAGUUAUAGGGUUCCCUGCUCUCACCAUUUACGCCGCCACAAAAGGUACAAAUUUUGAAUUCAAAUCAAUGUUUAAAUAAAUUUUGAUAGUUUGAUAUUCGAAAUGUUGUUAUUGUCUCUGUGCUUUUCCUUCCCGAUCAGGUGCCAUGAAUCAAGUCACGAAGAAUCUGGCCUGCGAGUGGGCGGGCGACGACAUACGCGUAAACUGCGUAGCUCCAGGGGGAAUCAAAACCCCACUCAUCAAACCAGUUACGUUUUCCGACCUUGUUCUUUUUUAUACAAAUUAAUAAUAGUAAUAACUUAACCUGUUAUGUUACUCACUAAGAUGAUUCUCCUUUUUGUUAUGCUUCAACAGCUGCUUGACAAUGCGGAGCUCACAGCAAAAGAAGCUGCUCGGGUUCCGCUCGCGCGAAUCGGCGAGCCGGAGGAGGUGGCUUCAAUGGUGGCUUUUCUUUGCAUGCCGGCCGCGUCGUACAUCACCGGCCAAGUCAUUUGUGUUGACGGCGGCCGCACCAUCAACGGUGCUUCGUAGCGUCCUCCCUAGCAGGUUUACAGAAGCUGCAGGAACUUAAUUUAAGGUGUUGAAACUUGGAAUAAAGCUUCAUCAGAUAUGUAGAAGCUCUAAUGCAAGUAUAGUUAUGGUUGGGUGUGUUAUAUUUAGUUUCAUUUCAAAUGUGUAGUGUGCUUGUAUUUUACAAAGUGUUAUUAUUCGAAACUGGGGAUGAACUGCUGCAGGAGUGAAGUUUGGUGCUUGGUUACUUUCUCUAAUAAAUUGCUAUUUGCAAGAUGAUGAGCCAUUUAAAUUCUAUAGUACAUACUGAUAGAAUUUAUUGUUGGCUUAAAGGGACCAACAUUUUACUCUGCGACGGGAGGUUAGAUUGGAACGAGUCAUAUUCGAAAUGAUAGAAGGCCGGAUUGGACUGAGUAAUGUUCGAAGUGGGGUGAGAUUAGUUGGGCCUAGUCACAGCCGAGGAAAUGGCAGGAGGCUGAAAUGGGCAGAAUCACGUUCAAAAUAGCAUGAGACUGAUUGGCCGGGUCAUAAUUGAGAUCUGUGUAUGUUGUUUUUAACGGCUCGAUCUUUUGAGAUUAAUGGUUAGUAUCAACGAACCGAUAUUUCAUAAGAGCAAGUUUACAUAAGAUUUAACUAUAGUUAAAUAAAUAAAUUAUUCAUGCCUUAAGUAACGCAUGAAACAGUGCUAAAAAUAUUGGUUGUUAAGAUCAAAGCAACCACUCAGAAACUGCUGCAGAGUGUAAAAUUUCCAAAGCCCUAGUAUGCAGAAAUUUUCAGCACGACAUUUUGCUCUGUCGGAAAUGAUCUCCACCGUUGGAUUCAGUUCUCAAAAUUAUCCCUCAAACUUUAUUCAUUUUGUUUGACAUUCUUUCUAAUCUUUUUUUUGAACAUCACUAUUUUUGGUCAAUCAUAUUAAAAUUUUAAUUAAGUUACUAUUAAUUAGUUUUGUUAAAAUUAAUAGUUCUAAUUACUUUCAAUAGAUAAAUUUGUAGUAAUUAAGAACCAAAUAUUAAUAGGACUAUCAAAUUUAGUAAUAUCUUUAACUUAAAUAAGUAUAACAAUUUAAAUUAAAAAAACGAAAUAGUUGAGUAAGUGUGGGACGAAAAAUUAUAUACUCAAAAAGUCUAUUUCAAAUUUCAGAAUGGCCUAUAGUUGAGGGAGUUCUCACUUCUCAGUGAAUUUGAAUUUUUUUAACCAAAAUUAAAUAGAAAAUCCUUCCAAAUAGCCUAUGUUGCUGGUUAUGAACUUCUAAUUUGAAAUAGACUUUUUGAGUAUAUAAUUUUUCGUCCCACACUUACUCACUUCUCAGUGAAUUUGAAUUUUUUUAACCAAAAUUAAAUAGAAAAUCCUUCCAAAUAGCCUAUGUUGCUGGUUAUGAACUUCUAAUUUGAUAAUUUAAUAAAAUAUUUUUAAACAACAAAAUAUUAAGCGACUUAAAAUUUGAAAAAAAAAAAAAAGGAUUUUUUUUAGAAAACGGUAGUAUGCUAUCUGCUUCGUUUAUUUCAUUAAGAAAUAAACUUAGCUGGAAAUGUGAAUCAACUAGGAUUCGAACUUAGAUCUCGGAUACCAAUCAUCAAGCCCUUGCGUUGGGACGGCCUGUAAAAAAGAAAGGGUUAUUUGAUGUGGCCGUAGUAUGUGUUUAUCUAAGAAAGGGUAGGGAAUUUGUAUGUGUCAAUGUGUGGUGCUUUUCUGAGAAGCCCCACUGUGUUAAAGUGUGAUAGAGAACUGUGAACUUCUUCCAGUCAUAAAUCAAAACCUAGCAAAGAAAAGGGAAAAAAAUAAAAAAAAUAAAUGAAAAGAAAUUAGAGGAGAAAUUAAGUGCAUGCAUUUUUAAAAGAGAGAGAUCUGCAGAGAGAGAGAGAGAGAGAGAGAGAGAGAGAGAGAGAGAGAGAGGAUGGAUUGUAGUAAGAGAGGAGAGAGAUGGUCUCUUGCUGGAGCAACGGCUCUGGUCACAGGAGGCACCAAAGGGAUUGGGUAUAUUAUAUUUAGUAUAAACUCAUAUAGAUUUUGAUGUUAAAUUUGUGUUGUCAUUGGCUUAUAUAUUUGCUUGUUUAUUCACUGGUCUCCUUUUGGAACUUUUGUGCGUUUCUUUAUCAAAACCUGCACUAGUUUUCCUCUUUAAUAAGAGAAGUAGGUAAAUAAAGGAGAAGUUGAUUUUAAGUUUUGUGAAGAACUAAGGAAUGAUUAAUAUAUGAAGGGGCAAAAAAUUCUGGACAACUUGGAGUUUAGUGUGAUUGUAAAUUGCACAAAAAGAAUUGAAAAAAAGGAAGUUUAGAAGGGUGAAAUUUAAAAUGCAAAUAGUGGAUUUGGUUCAAUUAACUAUCUUGCCUAAAUUUAUAUUAAAUUCUCUAAUCAUUUAUAUAUUUGCUUUGAAUUGAAAAUUUUAUCCAGGCAUGCUAUUGUUGAAGAGUUAGCAGUACUUGGUGCAACAGUGCAUACAUGUGCUAGAAAUGAAGUAGACCUCCAAAAUUGCUUGAGUAAAUGGGAAAAAAUGAACUUAAAAGUCACUGGAUCAGCUUGUGAUGUCUCUUCUAGAUGUGAAAGAGAGAAACUAAUGGAGAGGGUCCAAUCCAUUUUCAAAGGAAAGCUCAGCAUACUUGUAAGUAAUAUAAAACUAUAUAUCUUACAUGCAUAUUAUAUAUGUGCCGAAAGAUUAUGUAUUCAUCUAUGAACAAGUUCAUGAUUUUUUCUCUAUCAACAAAAAAAAAAAGUUCAUGAUUUAAGGGUGUUACUAUAUCUUUUUGAGCAUAUUUCCUAACAGAUUGAUCUUUAGAUAACAUAGUAUCAGAGUCGAUUCUAGAUUCUUUUAUUUUGUGAGGUCGUGGAUUCAAUUCUCACGUUCAACACUUAACGGGUUAAAGAUGUUAAUAUUUUGAACCCAUUUUUUACUAGAUUUAUUUUUUAGUUAACAAAGAAUAUAUAUAUAUAUAUAUAGAGAGAGAGAGAGAGAGAGAGAGAGAGAGAGAAAGAGAGAGAGAGUUGAGCUGGAAUACUAUUAAUAAUAUUUGAGUUUUUUUGCUUUCGACUUUGCCGUUUAAUCAAUUCCAUCCUUUACAUCAUACAAUUCAACCAACUGCCCACUCAACCCUGAAGGAACCACUAUUAUCAUCCUACAAAUUUUUAUUUAAAAAUUAAAAACUCGAUAGCAAAAGAGUCUGAAUACUAUUAAGCCCAAUUCUAUAUAUGUGUAUGUGUGUGGAAAGCAAGAAGUUGCGAAUCCAUGUUUCAAUUGCGUGUACAUAUAGAAAAUAACAAAUGGGAAAACUUAGGUCUGCAUUGAAGACAAUUAAGCAGUUUUUCGCUUGACUCUAAAGCAAAAUCCCUGUUAGAGCUGGUAGGUGGCCAACAUUAGCUUCUAUUAUAGGCUACGAAAGCAGAAGUUCUAAUCUGAAUCAUUGGAGCAACAACUACAAUGAAAAUAUCGCUGCAAGCGAAAAUAUCCUAGGUACCAAAGUGAAAUUGGACCAUAUCCUAGGGACUAUCUCCCUUGUUUUAAAAGAUUCUAUCUAAAGAGCUGUUAAUUUGUCUUUGAAUAUAUUACUAAAAUUAAUAAUAUAUGAUCCAAAUAAUCUAUAUUUUGGCUCUCUUCUAGGUUAACAAUGUAGGAACAGGGCAAUCUAAGCCAACUACAGAGUACACAGCAGAGGACUACUCUGUUACCAUGGCCACAAACUUUGACUCUGCUUUCCAUCUAAGCCAAUUAGCCCACCCCUUUCUUAAGGCAUCAGGGAGGGGUAAUAUUGUCUUUAUAUCCUCCCUUGCAGGAAUUACAGGGUUCCCUUCUUUCUCCAUCUAUGCAGCAACUAAAGGUAGAUAGAUAGAUACAUGUGAAUUCGAUUUUUUUUUUUUCGUUUUAACUAAAUUUUGAUAUAUAUGCUUGAUUUUCGAAAUCUUGUACUAGGAGCCAUGAAUCAAGUCACGAAGAAUCUGGCCUGCGAGUGGGCGGGUGAUAACAUACGCGCGAAUUGCGUAGCUCCCGGAUCAAUCAAAACUCCGCUCGCGAAAUGGGUAACAUUCGCAGAGUUUUAUUUUAGAAAAUACUUCAAAUAUCACUUUAGCACUCUGUUAUUUAAAGUGCAUCAAUUUAGUAUCCUGUAAUUUUAUUUUUUCUUUUUUCAUUAGUCCUUUCAUUAAUUUUUUAUUAAAUCAUAUACAAAAAACUUCAUACACCUCACAUGUAAUUUAUCGAAUAUUUAUUUUAGUAUCAUUUAAUUUUAACUUCAUCACUAAUUUAACAAAAAAAUUAGUGAAUAGAAUAACAAAAAGAAAAAAAAAUAAAACUACAGAAUACGAAAGUGAUAUAUUUUAAAUCAUAGGAUACUAAAGUGAGAAAGUGCGAAACCACAAAUAUGGUAUUUAAAGUUUUUUUUCAUUUUAUUUUAUAAAUUUGUUGUUA